rnacentral:lncRNA from 1 species
UCGGGAUAAAAUUAAAAGUUUCGAAUAUUAUAUUAUUCAAUCAGUUUCCUGAUCCCUGAUCCUAACCCAAUCCGAUACAAAUAAAACUAAAAGCAAUAUGAGAAGCUUGACGUUAAGUACUGUGUGAUUGUGAGAAAUCGAAUAUUGUGAGUAAAUCGAAAAAAAUCGAAGACAAAAUUGUGAGAAACAGAGGUAAAAAUGCCCAUUUGCCUUAACACUCCUCCAUUCACUCACAAUUCAUCACAUUCAUCUAUGCCAUAACUAUGCCAUUCACACAUCUAUGCCUAACAUUCAUCUAUAAUCUAUGCCCCUAACAUUCAUUUAUAAAUCUCUAUGCCUAACAUUCAUCUAUAUACAUAACAUGCCUUAACACAUUCAUCUAGAUCUAUGCCCCUAAGCCCUAACAUUCAUCUAUACAUAUAUAUAUCCUAACAUUCAUCUAUGCCUUUCACUCAUCUAUGCCUAAACAUUCAUCUAUAUAUACACCCUUAACAAAUUCAUCUAUAUAUAAGACCCCUAAUUCAUCUAUAACAUCUAUGUGAUAUAUGCCUAACAUUCACCCCCUAAUGUCUUUUAUCAGGAAAGAAAAUAUAAAUUAUUAUUGCUAACAUGCUAGGUAACUUUUCAACAAAGCCCGGGGAAGAAGGCUUGAUUACGAACGCCACACAGUCCCAGUCCCAACUCCCUACCAAGGAUUUUUGGUUUCCCAUGCUCUCUGCAAAAUUAAUUAACCAAAAAAUCAAUAUACUACAAUCGUUUUUUCAUUUGUCAAAGAGGAAUUUGGAGGACGAGAGAGUGAGGAGUAAAAAAACAUUUUGUUAAAGUGAAAAAUAUCCGUCAAAAAAGUACAUGCAUAUUUUACAUAAACUUGAAAGCAAUUUAGAAAGUCAAAACAAACUUUCAUUCUUUCUAAUAAAAAAUAAAAAUAAAAGACCUCAUUCUAUGUUAUCUUAAGACACAAUAUCUAAACUAAAAAUUCAAAGGGAUAAUAAAAAACAGUUAUGUGAGAAAGAAAUACGGCUAAGAAAGUUAAUAUAUUAAAAAGAGUUUCAGUUCAGUGUUAUGGCUAAAAAGUCAUUUUAUUGUCGACAUCGUUAAGUUUUAGCCAGCAUACAUACAAAAUAGAUUUUAAAACAGAGCAUUUAUAUUUUUAACAUUCAACUCUAUAAAGAAUGAUUAAAAGAGAAGAGCAGGAGCUAAACAGACUAAGAACCAUUUUUAAUUGCAAACAAGCUAGAGGAAUAAGACCAAGAAUAUAUUUAUUACCUUGUAAGAAGAGAUGAUGAUGCUUCAAAUUUUGUUUUUCUCUCGGCUAACGAUGCUUCAUAGUUUGAGUGAAAGGAGGACUCAAGUGGAAGAACAGAAGAAGUGAAAGAGAGAAGAGAUAAAAACAAAAAAAAUGGAUUGUAAUAAUAUAUGACACCAAAGUAAAGAGGAUUCGGAUUUCUUCUAAGUUCUAACGCAAAGGAAGGAGUAAGUAUGCA